CUUGAGGUCUCUGAACUACCAGAUUGAAGUUGAGAUGAAGAUCUCCUACAGGCUAUUCUUUCUCUUCUUCUUGCUUCUCCUCUCCUCAGUUGAGGAAGCUGUGGCUCAAGUGGGUAGAGCAAAUGCAAUUAGGCCUCCAGAGCACACAUGCCAUAAGAAAAUAGACUCCAGAGAGAGUUGUUAUUCACAGAAAUGCAUGAACCAGUGUUCUUCAGAACCCAAUGGCAUGGGGAAGUGCCAAAACACCAUCUGUGUCUGCACAUUUUAUUGUAAUCAACCACCUGUGUGAAGUGUAACAGUCAGUGCAUUAAUCCCCAACCCAAACUCUUCUUGUUGUCAUAUGGUUAUAAUAUUUCUUUGGUUUAAAGAAAGCAAGUUCCCUGUUCUGGUAAACUUUAAA